UACGGAAGGUCCGGGCGUUAUCCGGAUUUAUUGGGCGUAAAGCGAGUGCAGGCGGUUCAAUAAGUCUGAUGUGAAAGCCUUCGGCUCAACCGGAGAAUUGCAUCAGAAACUGUUGAACUUGAGUGCAGAAGAGGAGAGUGGAACUCCAUGUGUAGCGGUGGAAUGCGUAGAUAUAUGGAAGAACACCAGUGGCGAAGGCGGCUCUCUGGUCUGCAACUGACGCUGAGGCUCGAAAGCAUGGGUAGCGAACAGG
rnacentral:rRNA from 1 species